CCCUGUUACAUAUACUUAUAUAUAUAUAUAUGAAAGGCAGCCCCGAAUAGGAUUGCAGAAAAAGUCGGCAAUCUGGUUAUAAAUGGGAACUCUGAAUAGGACGCAUAGGAAUGCAGCGAGAUUAGUUGAGGUGUGUGUGACAGAGUUUUUGAUACCGAGUGAAAAUAUUAAAUAUCUUACUACCUUAGUGCACCCGGAUCGAUGUGAAAACUACAGUAUAUAUCAUGCAUGCUAUUUGUGAUANNNNNNNNNNUACGCAUAGGAAUGCAGCGAGAUUAGUCGAGGUGUGUGUGUGACAGAGUUUUUGGUACCGAGUGAAAAUAUUAAAUAUCUUACUACCUUAGUGCACCUGGAUCGAUGUGAAAACUACAGUAUAUAUCAUGCAUGCUAUUUGUGAUAUGAGAGGAAACUGAAAAGGAGUGAGCACAAAUUGGAAAGAUUGGGCUGAGAACUUAGCUACAAGCAGCAAGUAAUCCUAUAGUUCAUUCUGACCUGCACCGUCUUGUCGUGAUCUAACUUGCGGUUGGAAACGUGGAGUUGAAGUUCUUCUGCAGGAACCUGUACACGUGAUUGAUGACGAAUCGCCUCAACCAGCCCUCACGUGCUUCCCGCCGCUCGCCGUCAGGAUCGCCCUCCCGACCAGGAAGUAUCGUAGUUAGUCAGGAAACUAGAAAUUGUUCUAUCUUGUCUUAUACUUUAAAUUGAUCAUGUAUUCUUGCAUAUAUGAUUACGGGGCUUAAGCAAUACAACAAUUAUUUCAUCAAUCUCUGUUUCCCCUUNNNNNNNNNNCACCUGCACCGUCUUGUCGUGAUCUAGGUUGGAAACGUGGAGUUGAAGUUCUUCUGCAGGAACCUGUACAUGUGAUUGAUGACGAAUCGCCUGAACCAGCCCUCACGUGCUUCCCGCCGCUCGCCGUCAGGAUCGCCCUCCCGACCAGGAAGUAUCGUAAUUAGUCAGGAAACUAGAAAUUGUUCUAUCUUGUCUUAUACUUCAAAUUGAUCAUGUAUUCUUACAUAUAUGAUUAUGGGGCUUAAGCAAUACAACAAUUAUUUCAUCAAUCUCUGUUUCCCCUUUAACAUGGUAUAUGCCGCAAGUUCUUAAACCUAGC
rnacentral:lncRNA from 1 species